rnacentral:rRNA from 1 species
GACGAAGGGCGCGAGUGUUAUUCGUUUUGAUUGGGUGGAAAGGGUAGGUAGGCGGUCUCCGGUUUUUCUGAACUAAAUCGCGGAGUGUUCCUAUGCGAAGUUCUUUCAAUAAAGGAGUCUAGUGUUGGGGAGAGGUUUAGGCAAGUUCAUUAGUAGGGGUAGAAUCCACGAAAAUGUGAACGAACGCCGUCCGGCGAAGGCGCUUCUCCAGCCCCAACAGACGCUGAGCUACGGAAGCUUAGGGAGCAAACGGG